rfam:Paenibacillus sp. 32O-W, complete genome.
UCCGCCGUGAGGCGGAAUCUGAAGGAAGCCGGAGGCAAAUGCACGGGCCAAGGUACACGAACCCAAUUUGAGGCAGGAUUAGCCGGAUGAGUUGCCCAUACACAACGAAAUCCUAAGCCGCCAAGGGCUAGUUCUGUAGACUUGGGUGGUCGCGGGCGGAAAGAUGACGCU